rnacentral:rRNA from 1 species
GAGUUUGAUCAUGGCUCAGAGCGAACGCUGGCGGCAGGCCUAACACAUGCAAGUCGAACGAACUCUUCGGAGUUAGUGGCGGACGGGUGAGUAACACGUGGGAACGUGCCUUUUGGUUCGGAAUAACUCAGGGAAACUUGUGCUAAUACCGAAUGUGCCCUUGGGGAAAGAGUUAUCGCCAUUAGAGCGGCCCGCGUCUGAUUAGCUAGUUGGUUGAGGUUAAAGGCUCGACCAAGGCGACGAUCAGUAGCUGGUCUGAGAGGAUG